UACAGAGGGUGCAAGCGUUGUUCGGAAUUACUGGGCGUAAAGCGCGUGUAGGCGGUUUUUCAAGUCCUGUGUGAAAGCCCUGGGCUCAACCCAGGAAGUGCGCAGGAUACUGGAUGACUGGAGUGGCGGAGAGGAUGGCGGAAUUCCCGGUGUAGAGGUGAAAUUCGUAGAUAUCGGGAGGAACACCUGUGGCGAAGGCGGCCAUCUGGACGUUCACUGACGCUGAGACGCGAAAAGCGUGGGGUAGCAAAACAGGG
rnacentral:rRNA from 1 species